rnacentral:rRNA from 1 species
UACGAAGGGGGCUAGCGUUGCUCGGAAUCACUGGGCGUAAAGCGCACGUAGGCGGAUUGCUAAGUCAGGGGUGAAAUCCUGGAGCUCAACUCCAGAACUGCCUUUGAUACUGGCGGUCUCGAGUCCGGGAGAGGUGAGUGGAACUGCGAGUGUAGAGGUGAAAUUCGUAGAUAUUCGCAAGAACACCAGUGGCGAAGGCGGCUCACUGGCCCGGUACUGACGCUGAGGAGCGAAAGCCAGGGGAGCAAACGGG